rnacentral:rRNA from 1 species
UUGCUUGUUGGGGUUGUAGGACACUCUAUACGGAGUUACAAAGGACGACAUUAGACGAAUCAUCUGGAAAGAUGAAUCAAAGAAGGUAAUAAUCCUGUAGUCGAAAAUGUUGUCUCUCUUGAGUGGAUCCUGAGUACGACGGAGCACGUGAAAUUCCGUCGGAAUCUGGGAGGACCAUCUCCUAAGGCUAAAUACUCUCUAGUGACCGAUAGUGAACCAGUACCGUGAGGGAAAGGUGAAAAGCACCCCGGAAGGGGAGUGAAAUAGAACCUGAAACCGUGUGCUUACAAGUAGUCAGAGCCCGUUAAUGGGUGAUGGCGUGCCUUUUGUAGAAUGAACCGGCGAGUUACGAUUUGAUGCAAGGUUAAGCAGUAAAUGUGGAGCCGUAGCGAAAGCGAGUCUGAAUAGGGCGUUUAGUAUUUGGUCGUAGACCCGAAACCAGGUGAUCUACCCUUGGUCAGGUUGAAGUUCAGGUAACACUGAAUGGAGGACCGAACCGACUUACGUUGAAAAGUGAGCGGAUGAACUGAGGGUAGCGGAGAAAUUCCAAUCGAACCUGGAGAUAGCUGGUUCUCUCCGAAAUAGCUUUAGGGCUAGCCUCAAGUGAUGAUUAUUGGAGGUAGAGCACUGUUUGGACGAGGGGCCCCUCUCGGGUUACCGAAUUCAGACAAACUCCGAAUGCCAAUUAAUUUAACUUGGGAGUCAGAACAUGGGUGAUAAGGUCCGUGUUCGAAAGGGAAACAGCCCAGACCACCAGCUAAGGU